GACGAACGCUGGCGGCGUGCUUAACACAUGCAAGUCGAACGGAAAGGCCCUGCUUUUGUGGGGUGCUCGAGUGGCGAACGGGUGAGUAACACGUGAGUAACCUGCCCUUGACUUUGGGAUAACUUCAGGAAACUGGGGCUAAUACCGGAUAGGAGCUCCUGCUGCAUGGUGGGGGUUGGAAAGUUUCGGCGGUUGGGGUUGGACUCGCGGCUUAUCAGCUUGUUGGUGGGGUAGUGGCUUACCAAGGCUUUGACGGGUAGCCGGCCUGAGAGGGUGACCGGCCACAUUGGUACUGAGAUACGGCCCAGACUCCUACGGGAGGCAGCAGUGGGGAAUAUUGCACAAUGGGCGGAAGCCUGAUGCAGCAACGCCGCGUGCGGGAUGACGGCCUUCGGGUUGUAAACCGCUUUCGCCUGUGACGAAGCGUGAGUGACGGUAAUGGGUAAAGAAGCACCGGCUAACUACGUG
rnacentral:rRNA from 1 species